UUUGGUGGCGAUGGCGGAGGGGAACCACGCGUACCCAUCCCGAACACGACCGUUAAGCCCUCCAGCGCCGAUGGUACUUGGACCGCAGGGUCCUGGGAGAGUAGGACGUCGCCAAGC
rnacentral:rRNA from 2 species